rnacentral:rRNA from 1 species
GAUGAACGCUGGCGGCGUGCCUAAUACAUGCAAGUCGAGCGAACGGACGAGAAGCUUGCUUCUCUGAUGUUAGCGGCGGACGGGUGAGUAACACGUGGAUAACCUACCUAUAAGACUGGGAUAACUUCGGGAAACCGUAGCUAAUACCGGAUAAUAUUUUGAACCGCAUGGUUCAAAAGUGAAAGACGGUCUUGCUGUCACUUAUAGAUGGAUCCGCGCUGCAUUAGCUAGUUGGUAAGGUAACGGCUUACCAAGGCAACGAUGCAUAGCCGACCUGAGAGGGUGAUCGGCCACACUGGAACUGAGACACGGUCCAGACUCCUACGGGAGGCAGCAGUAGGGAAUCUUCCGCAAUGGGCGAAAGCCUGACGGAGCAACGCCGCGUGAGUGAUGAAGGUCUUCGGAUCGUAAGACUCUGUUAUUAGGGAAGAACAUAUGUGUAAGUAACUGUGCACAUCUUGACGGUACCUAAUCAGAAAGCCACGGCUAACUACGUG